rnacentral:rRNA from 1 species
UACGGAGGGGGCGAGCGUUGUCCGAAGUUACUGGGCGUAAAGCGCGCGUAGGCGGGUUGGCAAGUCCGCUGUGAAAGCCCGGGGCUUAACCCCGGAGGGUCGGUGGAUACUGCCAGUCUUGAAGGUGCUAGGGAGAGAUGGAAUUACCGGUGUAGCGGUGAAAUGCGUAGAUAUCGGUAGGAACACCAGUGGCGAAGGCGGUCUCUUGGAGCACUCUUGACGCUGAGGCGCGAAAGCUGGGGGAGCGAACGGG